CCACAAUGGACGAAAGUCUGAUGGAGCGACGCCGCGUGCGGGAUGAAGGCCUUAUGGGUUGUAAACCGCUGUCAGGGGGAAGAACAUCGGAAUGAACAAUACUCAUCCCGACUGACGUUACCCCCAGAGGAAGCUCCGGCCAACUCCGUGCCAGCAGCCGCGGUAAUACGGGGGAGCAAGCGUUGUCCGGAAUUAUUGGGCGUAAAGGGCGUGUAGGCGGCGAGGUAAGUCGAAUGUGAAAUCUCACGGCUCAACCGUGAAACUGCGUUCGAAAACUACCCUGCUUGAGUACGGGAGAGGUGUACGGAAUUCCUGGUGUAGCGGUGGAAUGCGUAGAUAUCAGGAAGAACACCGGUGGCGAAGGCGGUACACUGGCCCAGUACUGACGCUGAGGCGCGAAAGCGUGGGGAGCAAACAGGAUUAGAUACCCGUGUAGU
rnacentral:rRNA from 1 species